AUUAUUACAGAAACAAACUUAACAAUGCAGGUUAAAUAGUUCUAAGAGUUUAAAACAUAGCUGGUCUAGGCAAGUCAAACAACCGAGUUUUAUUUCUAGGAUAUUGUGAGACUCGUAAAAAUACCCUAGUUCUUCGAGGCUUCUCCCUCGGCGGACUCCUGCUGAGGUUCUGAAAUAGCAACGAAGGAUUCCCUUGAGUACGGGUUACUCAGCAAGACUAACCCGACUAACCAAUAUAGAUAGUUUUUCCAAAACUGAAUGAUAGCUGUUUAGUGUACUGGCGGACUCACAUUUUGCAGAAAAGAGCUUACUAUAAGUGGAACCUUAGUUUUAUCUUUUAUUGAUGGCAAAAAUAUUUUUGCAACUAGAUGGAACUAAGUCAUACAGCACAUUUAAUUUCGGAAAAAACGUUGCAUUCAACUGGAUUACACUACGAUGCUUAACGGUGAUCAAGUGCAUUCAUAACCGAGAAUUACGGCGAUCCGGAUCAAUUUACAUCCUGCAGGAGAUACCCUGACCACCAGCUAUGUACAACUGUCCAGGUUGCACAUAACGACCUUUCGAUUAGCCGCACCCAAAGAUUGGGAAUAUGACUACCUAAACCCAGGGACACACCCCCACAUGGGACCCUUCGUCUGGCCUGAUCUCCAUGUGAGUUUCCGGCUACGCUCUUGCCAUUCUCCAACACGUCAAGCACGGGUACGAAAUAUUCCCGAUCAGAGAGCCAACUAACCUACCGGGCUUUAUUGGUCCCAUACCCAGUAAGCAAUGAGGUAAAACUCACUUGAUCAAAGGUUAAGACAACGAUCGGGCCUUAACCAAAUUAACUUAGCAGACAGAACUACCAUCUCUAGCUUCUGUCUACAUUUCCAAUUUCCAGGUUAUUUUCCUUGACCAACAUGUAUGACCAAAUUUACCUUAGAGCUAAGCAACCAAGUUGCUUGAAGUAUCUAAGCAUUGCUAAGCAUAGGAUAGUUACUAAUUAGUGAACAAGUGGCAAAGGUGUCCUCUAAACAAGGUAGGAUCAUGCACAAGAGUAGGUUUCAAUCAACUUCUAGACUUAAUGCAUUCAUAGAGAAAAUAACCAAUAAUUGGACACAUGAAAUAAUAACCCCAAAGUAGGUAGGCAUAGAUGCAUCAGGGCUUGCCUUGAUCUGUAAAAAGGUUAGUGUUGUCUGACGGUCCGGCUUCACAGGGGAUCAACUCAACAAUCUCCUCAAACUCUGGAGGUUCUUCAGAUAAAUCCAAGAAUUCCACUUCUGGAGCUUCGGUGUC
rnacentral:lncRNA from 1 species